rnacentral:lncRNA from 1 species
GUAACAGCUGUUCAGCGUAGCCUUCACCAGUACAAGAGGGUGAUGUGCAUGAAGCUUCACCUGAUGCUUGUUGCUGGGAGGUGGUAUUGUCAUGCCAGGUUCUGAAGAAUUUCUCACAUGCUUCCUGCUUCCACACUGUUGUCUUCUGGUGUGUUCUGAUUCAUUUCCAGUUGAAGCUGUCUGUUUAGCCUUUUGUGUCUGAACUAGAAAGUGUUCAGAGGAAGUCACAUAUAGCUUUAUUGUAACACACAAGUACAGUUUCCAAGCAUGAAGAUACAGUAAUUCUAGGAUGAAAUGCUGAGACCUGAUGGUGAAGUCUGGCUUAGAAACUGAGUGUCAGAAAGUUCGAAGUAGUCUUCUACUUAGCUGUUGGCUUUCAGAGGUGUUUAGAUUAUUAAAUCUCAAACAAUCUAGCAGGGUGCAAAGCAAUAUGACUUAUGGCCCUUUCUCUUUAUAGAUGUAGCUAAAGGGAAAUAUGUGUAGCAUAUAGGCAAUUGUUAAAAUAACUUUUUCACUUGCCCCAAGAAACAUCAAGGCUUGAAACAGAUGCUCCUGAAUCCAUUUGCCUGUUGGACCUUGAAGUAUUUUUACUCGGGAUGGUGUUCACUAGCAGCUUACAAUUGCAAGAGAAGUUUAAGAUUCAGAAUGAAACGCACCAGCCUCCUUUCUUAGCUUUACUGCUGUGCAAACAGUACUAUACUGAGAGGCAAAGAUCCUGGUGUGAUGCUGCUUGCACUCUUAUGCAGAAAAUAAACACGUCUUUCAGGUUGCAGCCUAUGAAGAAGAGGCACGUAUAGCACUUGCAGUGCUGGAUGCAGUUGAAGGCAAAACUGAUGAUGCUUUCCUAGCAUUUGAAGCUAUGAAGAAUGUGGUUCACACUGGAAUCUUGCCGAGGUUGGUUCCUAGCUUGCAUUACCCCAAAUGCUUUUUUGUUACUUGCAUUCCAGCUGAUUCUCAUUAAUCUAAAUACUGUUGCUUAGCUUUGCCAAAGAAAGGC